CAAACACAACCUCCUAUAAUCACAACAACAUCAUCAACCAUGGCAAGUUAUCAGAAGCAGUACGAGGAUCAGGGUCGCAAGAUCGACGAGUAUGGAAACGUCGUAAGGGAAACUGAUGAAUAUGGCAACCCGGUUCAGGCUGCCAGUGUCACCUAUAUAACCUCCUCCACCGGCGGUGUUAGGGAUGACAAUAGCAAGCAACAUGAUACCAGUAAUGUCUACGGAUCAGACACCCGUAAACAACAUGGAACUAUAGGUGAUACCGGUAGACAGCAAGGACCAACCGCUGGCUUUACUGCUGACACUGGUAGACAACAUGGAACUACCGGUGGUUUUACUGGUGACACCCAUAGACAAUAUGGCACUACCGGUGGUUUGACCGGUGACACCGGGAGACAACAUGGGACUACCGGUGGUUUUACUGGUGACACCCGGAGACAACAUGACACCGGGAGACAACAUGGGACUACCGGUGGUUUUGCUGGUGAUACCGGGAGACAACAUGGGAAUACCGGCGGCUUCACUGCUGACACUGGUCUGGGAGGCCCUUACGUUGGAGCCAACACCGCUGACACAGGGACUGGUCCUAGAAGUGGAACCACAGGUGGCAGCGGCUAUGGAUCGGGUGGUGGCGCAGGUGGUGGUUAUGGAAGUGGAACUGGGCAUGGUAUCAACACUGGGGGAGCACACAGAGAUGAUGGGUAUGGAAGGGAGUAUCGUGAGCAUGACCAGUCUCGUGGAGAUCAGGACAAGAAAGGGAUAAUAGACAAGAUUAAAGAGAAGCUUCCCGGAGUACACAGUGACAACAGCAAGUAGAAACAUAUGUGUGUGUUUGCAUGCAUGUAUACUACAUAGUAUAAACAUGUUAUAUUGUUGUGUUUUUGAAUAAGUUUGCUGCAUAUAUACGUACUCGUACAGUACUGUCUUGUCGUGUAAAUGUGGUGGAUCUUGUAUAUGGUUAAAGUGUAUGCAAGAGGAAUAAAAUGUGCAUGCAUGCAAGGGAAAGAAGGCAUAGAUGUUCUGUUCUGCCAAUGCAUAUGUAAAACCUACCCUGUUGUAUAGCAGGGUGCUUCAGUUGUGUGUUUUAAAUUUUCCAAUGAAGCAACUUUUUAUUUCUUUCUUUCUUGAUCAUUUAAAUUUUAUGUGACCAGCUAUUUUCUGUUAUCACCUUCCUUAAUAUCUUUUUAACAUGCAUAAGAGAAAAAUUGUUAGAAAGAAUCACUGG
rnacentral:lncRNA from 1 species